GAAUAGUAUGGACGUAACUAGAAUAUGUAGUGUAGCGGUGAAAUGCUGAGAUAUUACAUGGAAUAUCAAUUGCGAAGGCAGAUUACUACGUAUUUAUUGACGGUGAUGAACGAAAGCGUGGGUAGCGAACUGGAUUAGAUAUCCUGGUAGUACACGAUGUAAACGAUGGAUACGAGCUCUUCGGUCUUAGGAGUGAGUGGAUAAGCAGAAAGUGAUAAGUAUCCCGCCUGGGGAGUAAAUUUGCAAGAAUGAAACUCAAAGGAAUUGACGGGGGACCGCACAAGCGUGUAGAGCAUGUGGUCUAGUAGGAUGAUACGCGAUGAACCUUAGCAGGGCGUAAAUGUAGAUGGACAGAUUUGGAAAUAGACUCAUGAUAAGACAAUUGACAAGGUGGUGCAUGGUUGUUCUCAGCUCGUGCCGUGAGGUUGCAGGAAAAGUCGCAUCACGAGCGCAACCCGUCUUGUUAGUUGCCAGCGCAUAAUUUCGGGGAGUCUAGCGAGAACGCCGGGGAAAAAGGUGAGGAAGGUGGCGACUCCUUCAAAUCAUCACGGCCAGUACGUCUUUGGUCACACACCGGGUACAACGGGAAGUACAGAAAGCAGGUGCCGGGCACCAGGUUAAAAAUCUCAACAAUUUGGUUAACGCCGUAUGAAAGUCUUCAACGAGAUGUCAAGAAGGCGGAAUCGCUAGUAAUCGGAUAUCAGACCAAGAUCCGGUGAAUACGUUCUCCACACCUCGUCCACACACGCACCGUGCAGAGCUCAUGGCAACCCCGGAAGGUACGCGGAAGUACGGUCGGC
rnacentral:rRNA from 1 species